GGCCGGAUGGCGAAAUUGGCAGACGCACGGGACUUAAAAUCCCGUGGAGGGUAACCUCCGUGCGGGUUCGAUCCCCGCUCCGGCCA
rnacentral:tRNA from 1 species